rnacentral:rRNA from 1 species
UACGUAGGGGUCUAGCGUUGUCCGGAUUGACUGGGCGUAAAGCGCACGCAGGCGGCACCGCGCGUGGGGUGUGAAAUCUGGCCGCUUAACGGCCAGGCGCCAUCCCAUACGGCGGAGCUGGAGCGAUGCAGAGGUCGAUGGAAUUGCCGGUGUAGUGGUGAAAUGCGUAGAUAUCGAGAGGAACACCUGCGGCGAAGGCGGGUUGCUGGGCUGACACUGACGCUGAAGCGCGAAAGCUAGGGGAGCGAACGGG